ACAAACAACAUGGGCUUCCCACUGAAAGCUUUAGGGCUACAGCACUGCCAAUCCCAAGCUCUGUGGCUCUGAGAGUGCAGUCAAUCUUCACUUCUUAAAGAUGGCUAUGAGGACAGACUCCCCCGUCCUAGGUUAAGCCUGGGGUCUGCUCUGGGAGCUCUGGAUAGACCAGUGACAGGAGGAUUACUACUGGAUUCCUGACCUCAAGGAAUUGUUCCAUCUCACAAAGGCACGGGCUACCUCUGAGAGAGCACCUAAAUACACGACCAGCCCAGAAUGAUAAGCUGCAGCUGAGACAGGUGCAUUUGGGUGCUGCAGAAACAUGCCCACCCCCGGGAGCUCUUCAAACUCUUCAGCCAUCUCAAAGAUGGCUGAGCAAUGUUCCUGAUACUUGGUCGAGACUCGGAAUGGCAGGAAAGACUGGAAAACUGUCUCAAGUACAGGCGGUGAGUUGUCCGACCUCCAAGGAGGCUCCAAAGCAGCCACCCUUCUUCCCACCAUCAUUGUGACCAUGCUUCCCGGCGCUCUGCACUUCCCAACUCUGUCUCCUGCCAUGUGUCUGUCCGUCCACCACGUCUGCCCUCCACGCCACCUCCUAACAGCAUAGCUUCUAGUCUUUCCUCUGUUCUUUGGGCAGCCACUGAGAUUUACAGCUCGGUUGCCCUAGGAUGUCUUAGAAAUAUCUUCACAUAUCUUUUGAGUCCAUUCUCCAAUUCCUUUAUUAAUGAGACUAACCCCAAGAGAUGGCUCCGAUUUCCUCAGUAUCAUCUGGUGUACCAGAUGGGACUCCCCAAAUUCCGGUUACAGUAUCAGAAACAUCUUGGCAGGUGUAUUUUCCUGUAUCUGCCCUGAUAUUUAUAACCUUUAAGCAAUUCUCUAUAGAACAACAAAAUGGUUGGUGGAGACUGAAUAUUUGUAUAACAUUUUAGUAAGGAAGCCAUAGGCUAGUGUCACUAAAGUUUGCGGGUGUAGUGUUUAAAAGUUCCUUUUAAGCAAAACGAUGAUCACGAAGACAUUUAUUUAGAGACAUUUUUUUUUUUCCAAAUGAGUUCUAAGAAAUAGGAAAGGCCGAAAGAAACCAGUUGUUUGAGAUGAUUUCUGGGCCACUGACAAAGGCUUUUAUUCUUUGAAGAAUAGACAGAGAAUGGUCACUUGUGUAAUCCAGAUAUAGCACCUUAUAUACAUGAAACAGAGUUAAAUAUAGAGGAUGAUGGGUUAAAAAUUAGACCGCUUCUAAAGAGCAACAAUGUACAGCACAGCUUCUUCAAGGUUAACAUACCCUUUGACAAGAAUUUAAAAUUCAUUUGAGGGAAGAAAAAACGUUCACACCAUCAACUUACACACUUUUAUCACUCCCAUCAUGGCUGUCACCUCCACAACUCUACCAAGAUCAUCGCCGCUUCAAGAACAACCAUCAUUGCCAUUACUACCACCACCAUCUCCACCAAGACCACACUGCCACUUCAAGAACAACCAUCAUUACCAUUACUACCACCACCACCAUCUCCACCAAGACCACCUCCUACCACCACUGUCAGCUACACCUUUCCUAAAACCACUCCCAUUACCAUUACUACCACCUGUGCCAUCACUACCACCACCACCACUUCCACCACCGUCACUGCCACUUCCACCAUUCUGAGUGCUCCUUGCACUGCAGAUGCCAAUGGAGACAGCAUUCCAUCAUGAGUUCACACAGGAGGAAGGAGAAAGGAGACCCCACUAUUCAACAUGGUGUCUGUUGGGGGAAGAACAGGGAAGAUGCUACAUCUUAGCAGUUGUAAGUAUACAUCCUGGGGUAGGUUUUGAGCCUCAAAGGUGAGAAGCCCCAGGAGACCUCAUGUAGAUAAGGGAAACCCAAAGCCUGGCCCUGCAUCAUCAGCAUCACCUACAAACAGAUGCUCAACGUACAGCCUCAACCUUGACUCAUCUGCCCCACCUCAGGGCCUGGGUAAUGCUACUGGAUCUCACUUGGUCCACAUACUGCACAGCUCCCACACAACAAGACAGCCAUUGGUCACCCUGAGCAGGGUAUCCUGUGAGCUACAUGGGAGAUACAGCUGGGAAGACUUGCUGAAGACAUGCUGUGGGGCUGUGAGGCUUGAUCCCAGUUUCUCCAUUGUUAAUGCUGUGAACUCUGUCCCCCAGGGCCUCCGACUCCAUUUGCAAUAGGGCCCAGGCUGGUAGAAAUUCAACAGGGUUCUGAAUGAGAGCAGUAAACUGCUCUAGCACAUCGGAAGCCCCUCACAUGCACAGUGAGCACUCAGCGCAUCGCUGCCAGCACCUGACUACAGAGCACAUUCAGGAGCACUGGGCACUUGGCCAGUGCUGAUGUGCUGCACACAGAGAUGGGAGUAAGUAUGGCGGGUAAGGGUCUGGUGUGAUGCGAGAGGACACCAGGAUGAGAACUGCUCAGUGUUUCCAUUUUCCCUCGUCUACAAACAAUUCUGAUACUUGGGACUUCAAAGGAAAUGAAGAAACCUAGGAAAAUAUUUCUUCCAUGUCAAUUUUAAAUCCCACCAACCUUCUCUCUCUAUAAUUACAGCUGUCAGUGUUGGCAUCAAGGGAAAAUGGUGUCCUUGGCUUUAAAAUGUGGCCAUUAGGGACUCAGUUAAAAAUAAAUUCUCUUCCUG
ensembl:processed_transcript 4933400F21Rik RIKEN cDNA 4933400F21 gene